AAUUUGUUUUCAUUCACAGGCAAAACCUCCAAGAAGUUAAUGUUAAGGAUGAUGAUUAACUCAUAAUUAAAAUAUAAUAUACAAUGCCCAUCAUCAUAUGAGUGAGAAGAUACUUCGGUUAAAGAAGGGAUUUUCCGCUGUUAAAAUGUUUUGCAUUGGCAGCUCAUGCCUCAGUGCUCAGUGAGUGUUUAAAGUCUUGUCAACCCUUUGAAAAGAUCCAAGAACUGUUCUCUCUAAAUCACAAGCCAAAAUGAUUCUCUUCAUCUGGGCAUUUUACUGCAUCCAAGGUUCUUUUGGGCAGGUUGUUGUAACCCAGUCUGAGGUUAAAUCAGUUCAGCUUGGUCAAACAGUCUCCAUUGAUUGCAAGUUCAACACUGUGGUUUAUAGGUAUCCACAGGGCUCAAUAUCCAAAGAUUACUACAUCUCCUGGUAUCUUCAGAGGCCAGAUGAACCCCCUAAACUCCUCAUAUAUUUUACAACAAUGAAGCCUUCAAGUGCUCCAUCUAGAAUGAGUGGAGGAGGCAGUUUUCACUCUGGAGGAAAUGGUCUUGAUUUCACUCUUACUGUAAACGAUGCCCAGAUUGAUGAUGCUGGAGAUUAUUAUUGUCUGAGUUACCACGAGAUCAGUAGUAAAGGAGUGCUCACACAGUGAAAACAUGCUGUACAAAAACAUCCCCGCUGACAAUGCUUCUGAGACCUGCUAACAGAACAAAAGGGGGUUUGCAAUGAGUUUUUAUCAUUAUUUUUUUAUCUAAUUAAUAACACAAUCUUCCAUAUAAAAAUAAGUAGUGGAAAUCAUGCUUUUUGCAGUACAUAUCUAAUUACUAUCAUACAAAUCAAUUGUACUCAUAUGCUUCACACAAAGCUAAGAAGCAGAAAACGCUUAUUUUAAUUACAAAAUCUUAGAAAAAACGAAUUGAUAAAUGUUCAGGUGUGUCUGUAAUCUAAAUGCUGACAUUUAUCCAUAUCAUAUUCAAGAUUAGUAUAAGUGACUGAGUCAACUAUAAUACCAAAGAUGUGGGUUACUGAAAUGUGUAGAUAAGUAAGAAUUACACCAACCCUUGAAAACAGAGAGAGUACUCCCCAGUCAAUCCAAAUAAAUCAUGCAAAUAAAAAUCAAAAGAAUAGGACAGAGUAACAAAAUGAAAAAUCAUAAUUAUAGAUUUUAUUAUUUUUUAAAUUAAAA